rnacentral:rRNA from 1 species
CUAAAUACUCCUGACUGACCGAUAGUGAACCAGUACCGUGAGGGAAAGGCGAAAAGAACCCCGGCGAGGGGAGUGAAAAAGAACCUGAAACCGUGUACGUACAAGCAGUGGGAGCACGCUUAGGCGUGUGACUGCGUACCUUUUGUAUAAUGGGUCAGCGACUUAUAUUCUGUAGCAAGGUUAACCGAAUAGGGGAGCCGAAGGGAAACCGAGUCUUAACUGGGCGUUAAGUUGCAGGGUAUAGACCCGAAACCCGGUGAUCUAGCCAUGGGCAGGUUGAAGGUUGGGUAACACUAACUGGAGGACCGAACCGACUAAUGUUGAAAAAUUAGCGGAUGACUUGUGGCUGGGGGUGAAAGGCCAAUCAAACCGGGAGAUAGCUGGUUCUCCCCGAAAGCUAUUUAGGUAGCGCCUCGUGAAUUCAUCUCCGGGGGUAGAGCACUGUUUCGGCAAGGGGGUCAUCCCGACUUACCAACCCGAUGCAAACUGCGAAUACCGGAGAAUGUUAUCACGGGAGACACACGGCGGGUGCUAACGUCCGUCGUGAAGAGGGAAACAACCCAGACCGCCAGCUAAGGUCCCAAAGUCAUGGUUAAGUGGGAAACGAUGUGGGAAGGCCCAGACAGCCAGGAUGUUGGCUUAGAAGCAGCCAUCAUUUAAAGAAAGCGUAAUAGCUCACUGGUCGAGUCGGCCUGCGCGGAAGAUGUAACGGGGCUAAACCAUGCACCGAAGCUGCGGCAGCGACGCUGAUGCGUUGUUGGGUAGGGGAGCGUUCUGUAAGCCUGUGAAGGUGUGCUGUGAGGCAUGCUGGAGGUAUCAGAAGUGCGAAUGCUGACAUAAGUAACGAUAAAGCGGGUGAAAAGCCCGCUCGCCGGAAGACCAAGGGUUCCUGUCCAACGUUAAUCGGGGCAGGGUGAGUCGACCCCUAAGGCGAGGCCGAAAGGCGUAGUCGAUGGGAAACAGGUUAAUAUUCCUGUACUUGGUGUUACUGCGAAGGGGGGACGGAGAAGGCUAUGUUGGCCGGGCGACGGUUGUCCCGGUUUAAGCGUGUAGGCUGGUUUUCCAGGCAAAUCCGGAAAAUCAAGGCUGAGGCGUGAUGACGAGGCACUACGGUGCUGAAGCAACAAAUGCCCUGCUUCCAGGAAAAGCCUCUAAGCAUCAGGUAACAUCAAAUCGUACCCCAAACCGACACAGGUGGUCAGGUAGAGAAUACCAAGGCGCUUGAGAGAACUCGGGUGAAGGAACUAGGCAAAAUGGUGCCGUAACUUCGGGAGAAGGCACGCUGAUAUGUAGGUGAAGUCCCUCGCGGAUGGAGCUGAAAUCAGUCGAAGAUACCAGCUGGCUGCAACUGUUUAUUAAAAACACAGCACUGUGCAAACACGAAAGUGGACGUAUACGGUGUGACGCCUGCCCGGUGCCGGAAGGUUAAUUGAUGGGGUCAGCGCAAGCGAAGCUCUUGAUCGAAGCCCCGGUAAACGGCGGCCGUAACUAUAACGGUCCUAAGGUAGCGAAAUUCCUUGUCGGGUAAGUUCCGACCUGCACGAAUGGCGUAAUGAUGGCCAGGCUGUCUCCACCCGAGACUCAGUGAAAUUGAACUCGCUGUGAAGAUGCAGUGUACCCGCGGCAAGACGGAAAGACCCCGUGAACCUUUACUAUAGCUUGACACUGAACAUUGAGCCUUGAUGUGUAGGAUAGGUGGGAGGCUUAGAAGUGUGGACGCCAGUCUGCAUGGAGCCGACCUUGAAAUACCACCCUUUAAUGUUUGAUGUUCUAACGUUGACCCGUAAUCCGGGUUGCGGACAGUGUCUGGUGGGUAGUUUGACUGGGGCGGUCUCCUCCUAAAGAGUAACGGAGGAGCACGAAGGUUGGCUAAUCCUGGUCGGACAUCAGGAGGUUAGUGCAAUGGCAUAAGCCAGCUUGACUGCGAGCGUGACGGCGCGAGCAGGUGCGAAAGCAGGUCAUAGUGAUCCGGUGGUUCUGAAUGGAAGGGCCAUCGCUCAACGGAUAAAAGGUACUCCGGGGAUAACAGGCUGAUACCGCCCAAGAGUUCAUAUCGACGGCGGUGUUUGGCACCUCGAUGUCGGCUCAUCACAUCCUGGGGCUGAAGUAGGUCCCAAGGGUAUGGCUGUUCGCCAUUUAAAGUGGUACGCGAGCUGGGUUUAGAACGUCGUGAGACAGUUCGGUCCCUAUCUGCCGUGGGCGCUGGAGAACUGAGGGGGGCUGCUCCUAGUACGAGAGGACCGGAGUGGACGCAUCACUGGUGUUCGGGUUGUCAUGCCAAUGGCACUGCCCGGUAGCUAAAUGCGGAAGAGAUAAGUGCUGAAAGCAUCUAAGCACGAAACUUGCC